GAAAUGCGAUAAGUAAUGUGAAUUGCAGAAUUCAGUGAAUCAUCGAAUCUUUGAACGCACAUUGCGCCCCUUGGUAUUCCGAGGGGCAUGCCUGUUCGAGCGUCAUUACAACCCUCAAGCACUGCUUGGUAUUGGGCUCCGCUGGCUCCAGCGGGCCUUAAAAUCAGUGGCGGCGCCGUUUGGGCUCUGAGCGUAGUAAAUAUCCUCGCUAUAGAGACCAGGCGGUUCUUGUCAUCAACCCCCAACUUUCUAAGUUUGACCUCGGAUCAGGUAGGGAUACCCGCUGAACUUAAGC
rnacentral:misc_RNA from 1 species